rnacentral:rRNA from 1 species
UACGGGGGGGGGUAAGCGUUGUUCGGAAUUACUGGGCGUAAAGGGCUCGUAGGCGGCCAACUAAGUCAUACGUGAAAUCCCUCAGCUUAACUGGGGAACUGCGUGUGAUACUGGAUGGCUUGGAUUUGGGAGAGGGAUGCGGAAUUCCAGGUGUAGCGGUGAAAUGCGUAGAUAUCUGGAGGAACACCGGUGGCGAAGGCGGCAUCCUGGACCAAUAUUGACGCUGAGGAGCGAAAAGCUAGGGGAGCAAACGGGA